rnacentral:rRNA from 1 species
UACGUAGGGUGCAAGCGUUGUCCGGAAUUAUUGGGCGUAAAGAGCUCGUAGGCGGUCUGUCGCGUCGGAUGUGAAAAUCCAGGGCUCAACCCUGGACCUGCAUUCGAUACGGGCAGACUAGAGUUCGGUAGGGGAGACUGGAAUUCCUGGUGUAGCGGUGAAAUGCGCAGAUAUCAGGAGGAACACCGGUGGCGAAGGCGGGUCUCUGGGCCGAAAUUGACGCUGAGGAGCGAAAGCGUGGGGAGCAAACAGG